rnacentral:rRNA from 1 species
AGAGAAAGCUGGAGGCAGGCUUAACACAUGCAAGUCGAGCGGGCAUCCUUGUGGUGUCAGCGGCAGACGGGUGAGUAACGCGUGGGAACGUGCCCUUCGGUUCGGAAUAACUCAGGGAAACUUGAGCUAAUACCGGAUACGUGCGAGAGCAGAAAGGUUUAUCUGCCGAAGGAUCGGCCCGCGUCUGAUUAGCUAGUUGGUGAGGUUACGGCUCACCAAGGCGACGAUCAGUAGCUGGUCUGAGAGGAUGAUCAGCCACACUGGGACUGAGACACGGCCCAGACUCCUACGGGAGGCAGCAGUGGGGAAUAUUGGACAAUGGGGGCAACCCUGAUCCAGCCAUGCCGCGUGAGUGAUGACGGCCUUAGGGUUGUAAAGCUCUUUUCUCCGGGACGAUAAUGACGGUACCGGAGGAAUAAGCCCCGGCUAACUUCGUG